CAAUCAGUUUUUCAAUCUUAAUAUUCUUAAUAUAUAUUUUAGCGACUUAAAACCCACAAAACAUUAUAUUGGACAUGUAAGUGCUGCCAUCUACACAUACUUUGCGUGAACUGAGCGCGAACACCUGUUCUUAAAUUUGGUUUUUAUAGUGGUGCAAUGGCGGCGUUUCGCAAUCUAACUUACGAUGCAAUAUUUGGCAAUAAGAAAUCCCUUAGACCUGGAGUUGAUGACGAGAAACUUCUUGAGCUACUAAAUGCCGAUUGUUCCGACAUAGACAUAUCAGAUGAAGAAAACGAAUUGGAUCCUGAACCUGAAGAAAUAUUUAACGACAAACUCCAAAAUGAGCAAACGGAGGAGGAGGCGGCAAUUGAUCAAAGAGAAGAAAGGGAAGACAGCGAGGAAGAUGAUGAUGAAGAUGAUCUACUUCCGUUGAGUGUUGUUCGAGACAAUUUACUUGUAGCUCAAGCUCAAAAUAGCACCAGCAAGGCAAAGCGGACAUCUUGGAAAAGAAAAUCCACGUUUACACCUCCUAAUUUUGACUGGACCGAACCUGAAAAUGACUUUGAAAGACGUCUCGCUUGGACGGCAAAGAAUUAUUUGUCCAUGUAUUUCACGGAUGAAGAUUUCCAAAAAAUUUGCGAUUGUACAAAUGCCCGAUAUGUUGAAGUCAAGGGAGUGUCACUAAAUUUAACACUACUUGAGAUUAAAAAAUUUCUUGGGAUGAUAACCUUGAUGUCUUGUUUAAAAUACCCACGUAUUCGAAUGUAUUGGGCUAAAACUACUAGGGUUGAAGCUAUUGCAAGAAAUAUGACACGUGAUAGGUUUUUUCAAUUAGGAGUAAUCUAAAGGUAGUGGUUGAUGGCGAUGUUACUGCGGCUGAAAGGAAUUUAGAUAAAUUUUGGAAGGUCCGUCCUUUAAUGAAUAAAGUAAAAAAUGCUUGUUUAAGUUUACCUAGAGAAAAAACUGUAGCCGUGGAUGAACAAAUGAUUCCAUUUACUGGUGUCUGUGCGAUGAAACAGUUUGUAAGAGGAAAACCAAAUCCAAAAGGUUUAAAAAAUUUUGUUUGUGCUGCCCCAGAUGGACUGGUAAUUGAUUUUGAAUUGUACCAAGGAAAAAAUACAUUUUUGGAAGACAAUUAUAAGAAUUUGGGAAUUGGUCCAUCAGCUGUAAUUCGACUAACACAAACAUUGCUACCUGGUACACACCUAUACUUCGAUAGAUAUUUUUCCACUUUACCUCUACUUGAACAUCUACACCAACAAAAAAUGUAUGGCACAGGAACUAUAAUGAAGUCGCGCAUUCCUUCAGCUGUUCAUUUAACCAGCGACAAAAUGAUGAGCAAAAUGGGACGUGGAGCAUCGGAACAGUUAUUGCGUGAAGACGAAAAAAUUAUCAUUGUUAAAUGGUACGAUAUGAAGCCAGUUCUUCUAGCGUCCACGGGACAGGGAAGUCAACCAUACGACGAAUGCAAAAAGUGGUCGAAGAAAGAAGCAAAGUACAUUCAAGUACCCAGACCUAACAUAGUUUCUAAAUACAAUGAAUGCAUGGGGGGUAUAGAUUUGAUCGAUCGAAUGAUAAGUUAUUACAGAAUACAAGCAAGAUGCAAAAAAUGGACCGUUAGAGUUAUUCUACACUUCUUUGAUUUAGCAAUGGCCAAUUCUUGGAUUCUUUACAGACGCGACAAAAAGUGGCUGAACACCACUAACCGAAAUAUUCAGCAAUACCUCGAUUUUAAAAUUGAGUUUGCUACAUAUUUGCUGUCAGAUCAAAACGAUUUCUUUUUGGACUUGCCAAGAUCUUUGAGUACCAGAGCCAAUUCUAAGGGCAGAGUUGACUCACCAAAAGUAUGCGAUUCUCCAACUUUAAAGCGAAAUCGUCAUCAUUUUCCGGCAAUAGCUUCAAUAAAAAAUUCCGUAAGGUGUAAAAAUCAAGAUUGCAAAAAGAAAACAAAGUUCUUUUGUGAAGCUUGCAACUUUUUUUUGUGCAUUACCAGUGAAAGAAAUUGUUUUAAAGACUUUCACAAGUAGAUUUAGGACUUUUAAAACUGUUUCUAUACUUUUUUAGAAUCUUUGUUUCUUUGUGCAUAUUUAAUUUUUUGGUAGGAAAGCAACCUUAUGUCCACUAAAAUGGACACAGUUUUUUUUGAAAACCAAAAGAAAAAAUAAAAAAAACUUAUUAAGAAAAGUUGUUUCAUUUUGCCUUUUAAAAUCACCCAUAAAGUUUCAUGGUGAUCUAAUAAAAAUAACCUCUCUGGGUCCCAGGAGGAUAUGAUCAGUACUUUAUAUUAUUAGAUAUUUUUUUCGAUAAAUAGCUCUAUUAGUAUUGUACGAGUAAGUAUCAGCACUGAAAUAUUUUCUGGGUGUUAUCAGCAGUGAACUACUUUUUCGGUGUUCGCUGCACUGAAAAGUGUUCUGGAUGUUUUUUGGACCGGAUUAUAAAGUGCAUAAUUUUGAGAAUUAUGAAAAAAGCUGUAAAUAUCUAAAUUCUAAUAUUACAAAGAUGUUUCUUUGAUCCUUGAUGUCUGUAAUGGUUUAACAUGUAACAAAGAUGGUUGUAACGAAUACAAGGUAUGUUGAAAUAAACGCAAUAAACUUCCAAUUAUAAAUACAAUCUUUUUGUUUUACAGUAUUUAUGUUCCACUCCGAAUCAACUCAACCGAUAGUCAGUAAUUCGACAACUUCAAGGUUCUCCAAGAUUCUCGAAGUUUAAUCGUCUUAAAUUUGGAGCAAAUUUUUAAAUUUGUUGUUAAAGCUAUAAUUUCGUUAUUCAGAAAUAGUAUUUAGUAGUCCUUAUCCUCUAAGAUAUAAUUAGUCUAUUGUGUUUGUAUAUCUUGUGGUAACUGAUAUCUACUGAGAAGAAACCCGAAUUUAUUCGUGGUAACUGAUAUCUACUGAGAAGAAACCCGAAUUUAUUCGAACAAAUUUUUACCCGCACAUUAUAACUUUAUAUUUAAUUAUGAUUAUGUUUUUUUGAUAUUCGCUAUUCCGCUUGUAAGAUUCGAAAAAAUUUAAAUUAUCUGCAAAAAAUCUAAGCACAGUUGUUUUCUGUCCUAAGAUCUUACCUGGUCGGCAGAGACAGCCAGUCUUUUAUGUUUUAUUGAAAGGGCGCUUGAGUCUUAACACUUUUACAAAAACCGUCAUAAUUUCACAGAUAAGGUUUAUGAAGGUUGCAUAAUCUUAGACGGUAAGGUUUAUUAAUUACUACACUAUUUUUGUUUUGAAAGAAGGCGUUGUGUAAAACAUUCUGUAUUUAUGUUUAAAUUUGAAAGGAAAUGUGCAAUAUAAGUUUGUUACUUGA